UACAGAGGGUGCGAGCGUUAAUCGGAAUUACUGGGCGUAAAGCGUGCGUAGACGGUUAUUUAAGUCGGAUGUGAAAGCCCCGGGCUCAACCUGGGAAUUGCAUUCGAGACUGAAUAGCUAGGGUACGGUAGAGGGAAGUGGAAUUUCCGGUGUAGCGGUGAAAUGCGUAGAUAUCGGAAGGAACAUCAGUGGCGAAAGCGACUUCCUGGACCAGUACCGACGUUCAGGCACGAAAGCGCGGGGAGCAAACAGG
rnacentral:rRNA from 1 species